CAAUCAGCUGCUGCCAGAGCCCUGCCAGAAGCAACAGCAGCAGCAGCAGCAACAACAACAACAUCAACUGCUGCAGCAGCCGCCGCAACUGCGGCAUCGACAAUUUCUUUGUAAAAAGCUAUUACAUCUACCAUUAAGGCUUAGUUUUUCAUAGUUAACCUACCCAUUGAUUUCCUUUUGGCAUUUUGAUGCUAACCAAUAUAAUGGAAGCCCAUAUAUUUUAUACAAAACGGUUUCCAUUUUAAAGCUGCAGAGUUUUGUUUUUACUUUUAGUCUACAACGCCAAGUGCGUUGGACAUAUACAUACCAUAGAAAACGGACAACAACAACAGCAUGAACAA